GACCCCAGGUCAGUCGGGAUUACCCGCUGAAUUUAA
rnacentral:rRNA from 1 species